UGGGGAAUUUUACGCAAUGGGGGAAACCCUGACGUAGCGACACCGCGUGAGCGAAGAAGCCUUUUGGGGUGUAAAGCUCUGUCAGCUGGAACGAACACAAUGACGGUACCAGCAGAGGAAGCAUCGGCUAACUACGUGCCAGCAGCCGCGGUAAGACGUAGGAUGCAAGCGUUGUCCGGAUUCAUUGGGCGUAAAGAGUUCGUAGGUGGUCUGUUAAGUUUGGUGUUAAAGAGCGGGGCCCAACCCCGAUAGUGCACUGAAUACUGGCAGACUUGAGUGCGGUAGAGGUAAGUGGAAUUCCAAGUGUAGCGGUGAAAUGCAUAGAUAUUUGGAAGAACACCGGUGGCGUAAGCGACUUACUGGGCCGUAACUGACACUGAGGAACGAAAGCCGGGGUAGCGAAUGGG
rnacentral:rRNA from 1 species